GAAACUCCAGCGACCAGGGCAUGAUGCGGCCGCCGCGUGCAAGGGUGAGAGACU
rnacentral:sRNA from 1 species